rnacentral:rRNA from 1 species
GACGAACGCUGGCGGCGUGCUUAACACAUGCAAGUCGGGCGGAAAGGCCCUUUCGGGGGUACUCGAGCGGCGAACGGGUGAGUAACACGUGAGUAAUCUGCCCUUCACUUCGGGAUAGCUUCCGGAAACGGAGAUUAAUACCGGAUAUGACAACUCCACGCAUGUGGUGGUUGUGGAAAGUUUCUCGGUGGGGGAUGUGCUCGCGGCCUAUCAGCUUGUUGGUGGGGUAAUGGCCUACCAAGGCUUCGACGGGUAGCCGGCCUGAGAGGGUGACCGGCCACACUGGGACUGAGACACGGCCCAGACUCCUGCGGGAGGCAGCAGUGGGGAAUAUUGGACAAUGGGCGGAAGCCUGAUCCAGCAACGCCGCGUGAGGGAUGACGGCCUUCGGGUUGUAAACCUCUUUCGCCUAGGACGAAGCUGCACUUUGUGUGGUGACGGUACUGGGAUAAGAAGGACCGGCCAACUACGUGCCAGCCGCCGCCGUAAGAC